GACGAAGGGGGCUAGCGUUGUUCGGAAUUACUGGGCGUAAAGCGCGUGUAGGCGGUUAUCCAAGUUGGAUGGGAAAGCCUUGAGCUUAACUCAAGAAAUGCAUUCAGGACUGGGUGACUAGAGGACCGGAGAGGAUAGUGGAAUUCCCAGUGUAGUGGUGAAAUACGUAGAGAUUGGGAAGAACACCAGUGGCGAAGGCGGCUAUCUGGACGGUUUCUGACGCUAAGACGCGAAAGCGUGGGGAGCAAAAAGG
rnacentral:rRNA from 1 species